AAGAAGCAGAAAGAUAAAGGUAAGAAGAAAAUAAUGUUUCUAUGCCUAUGUAUGGUAUUGCAGAACCCUUAUGUUGUCUUAUUGAUAAAAGUAUUAAAGACGAAAGAAGAUAGAAGAAAGCAACAGAAGAAGACAACGACAGAAGACAACGAUGACAGACAGAACAAGAAAGAAGAAGCAAGAAAAAGAGAGACAAAAAAGAAAGAAGCAGAAAAAAGCAUGAAGAAAAAGAAAGAAAAAUAAAAGAAAGAAAAUGAAAGAAGAAAAAAGAAAGAUGCAGAAAGAUAAAGUAUUAAAGAUGACAGAAUAAGAUAGAAUUAAGUGACAGAAGAAGACAACGACAGAAGAAGACAACGAUGACAGACAGAACAAGAAAGAAGAAGCAAGAAAAAGAGAGACAAAAAAGACAGAAAGAAAAGAAGCAGAAAAAAAGCAUAAAGAAAAAGAAAGAAAAAUGAAAGAAGAAAAAUGAAAGAAAGAAAAAUAGAAAGAAGCAGAAAGCUAAAGGUAAGAAGAAAGAAAAUAAUGUUUCUAUGGCUAUGUAUGGUAUUGCAGAACCCUUAUGUUGUUUUAUAGAUAAAAGUAUUAAAGACGACAGAAGAAGAUAGUAGAAAGCGACAGAAGAAGACAACGACAGAAGACAAUGAUGACAGACAGAACAAGAAAGAAGAAGCAAGAAAAAGAGAGACAAAAAAAGAAAAA